CACAAACACAAAAGCAAACAAUCUGACUGUUGGGAUUGAUGGAUUGAAAAGAGUUUGCUUAGCUUCCAAGUUACCUGUGGUUGCAAUUGGUGGUAUUAAUCAAAGUAAUGCAGCAGCUGUGAUGGAAAUUGGUGUCCCAAAUCUUAAAGGUGUUGCAGUUGUGUCAGCUCUUUUUGAUAGGCAAUGUGUUUUAGAGGAGGCCUUAAAGUUACAUGCAACUUUGGUGGAG
rnacentral:misc_RNA from 1 species